AAUUUUGGACAAUGGGGGAAACCCUGAUUCAGCCAUCCCGCGUGUAUGAUGAAGGCCUUCGCGUUGUAAAGUACUGUUUGCAGAGAAGAAAAGGUAUCCCCUAAUACGGGAUACUGCUGACGGUAUCUGCAGAAUAUGCACCGGCUAACUACGUUCAAGCAGCCGCGGUAAUACGUAGGGUGCAAGCGUUAAUCGGAAUUACUGGGCGUAAAGCGUGUGUAGGAGGUUCGGAAAGAAAGAUGUGAAAUCCCAGGGCUCAACCUUGGAACUGCAUUUUUAACUGCCGAGCUAGAGUAUGUAAGAGGGAGGUAGAAUUCCACGUGUAGCAGUGAAAUGCGUAGGUAUGUGGAAGAAUACCGAUGGCGAAGGCAGCCCCCUGGAAUAAUACUGACGCUCAGACACGAAAGCGUGGGGAGCAAACAGG
rnacentral:rRNA from 1 species